UCGUCACGUGAUCAGGUGUAGUUACCCACUGUGGCCACUAUGUCACAGUCACUCCACAGACGCUGCUCUGUUCCUGGGGGCCUCGUACGGGUCGGCCUGCAAAACAUGUUCACCUCCUCUGCGUGUUUCUGAAAUAAAACAAAGCCAGUCCACUCAGGUGCGUCCAGGUGGAACCACUUGACCUUUCUCAGGUACCAGACUGGAAAAGUCAUGAUAUUUCAGUGUGGAGAGUCGAGUGAUGGCGCACAGAGUCAUGUUGAGGAAGAGUGCAGACUUUAUUCUAAAACCAUUUCAUGUAAACAACCGGGACCUCCGUGAUUCACUUCAAACUAACGCAGAGUCACAGGAGGAGACAUCAGGAAUAUAACUUCUGAGCACAAACCAGCAGAGCUCUGUCUGAGAAAAUGGACAUCGAUGUUUGUGCAGUCAUCUGCUGAAUGUGGAUUUGAAGUCGUCUAACCCCAGCCCCACUACGACCUCUCCCCCAUGAUGAAGAAGGAGCUCAGUGGUCGCCAUUUUGACAGUGAAGAGCUGAGCUGCACAUGUAACGAGCUGUUUAACUCGUCUCCUUCAGCCUCAGGCCGCCAACCCAUCAAUCACCCCUUGUACUUUUCUCAAUAUUGAGAGCACACAUCCCCAUUUUUGAGGAGGUCAUGUGAUCUUCCAACACCUGCGUCACAGAUAUCAGAAAAAGACAAUCCCAUGGUCACAGUUGAAUUCAGCUUCGACAGCUGUCUCAGUUAGCUUACUGUUAGCUGUAGCAGCAGCAUCAUGUUUCUGUGGUGAAAAGUGUCACCACUGCUUAGCAGAAGUAGUCAUAGAAAUCUGGACUGUGUUGUGCAAUAGUGUAACUGAGUGAAUGUAUCUCCUCUGUCACUCUUGUGCAGAGGUCACACUCAGACUUAAACAUACGUAAUGAUACAGUAUCAUGCUGUUGGGUAGAUAGCGGUCGAUUGUCAGACUGCUGCGUCUUGCAGCUUUGUCACUUGAUGCUGUGGGCCAGAGCAGGUGAUUGUGAAACAAAAUGAAUACAGUUUCAGUUUGUACAUUCAAAUAGCAGCAGGAAAGAACACUCUGUUCACCACAGCUCAGACUUUUGACGGUGCUGAGUAAAUAUAGUAUAUGACAAUCAUACUCACUCAGUUGAUUCAUGAGGCUUGGCAGCAGAAUGUUCACACACAUGAGGGCAGGAAGUGGAAUAUGAGACAACAUAGAGAAGAGGACAAAACAGGAAAUAUUGAAACAAAAUGAGAAACAAAAACAUGCCCUAAUGAGCAGACCUCACUGUAAAAACCUGAUAGCUACAGAUACAUCAGUGGGAAAAACCAAGAGAUCUCGCCUUUCAGAAGAGAUGCACUCUGUCAGGAACACACCAGGCAGUGAAAGCCUCUCUGCCAACCACUACAUCAACCUGGAGCCGGUUUAGUGCAUUGCACUAAUCAAAUAUCUCCUGGGGCAGAUUUUAUCUAAGCUGAACCUGAAUCAAUAACUGCAUAUGAUGGUACAAACAGAAACUCAGAUGACUCAAGGUCUGCACACCUGCUAAUUUCCCCAGCUUCUGUCUCCAUGUCAGAAACACAUGAUUUCUAUUUGGAUCUUUCCCACCGGUCACUUUAUAGCCAUCUCUCUGAUGUCAUCCUCUGGGAAAAUUGGAAACUGUCCAAUCUGUUCCAUCACUAUUAGCUUUUACUUUCCAGGCAAAGCAAAAUUCAUCUGGAAUGACCCAGCUGACCUUAGAGGAGAGUGCUGGUUUAAUUUCCACUUAAUGCAUCAGGGUAAAGCCCACAGUGACACUAACCUCCAGUAGUGGCUGAUGAAUCUGGAAACUGAGGGCUUUUGCUCAUACAUUAGCAGAGCCAUUGUCCAGCUUGGUGCAAGCUGUAAAAGACUGUAACAGUUACUUGACGUCUGAAUAAGAAAAGCAGACAAACUCCAUCCAGUGGUCUUUGGAUGAAGAUCAAAUCAAACGUUUUUCAACAUAAAUGCUGAACGUGCAUCAUAUUUUUUAGAACAAUGAGCUUCAGUCACUGAUAAAUAGGGACAGACUCCCUUAUAUGAGGUCUUGAUUGGCUACAAUCAUUCAUGACUCCUGGAGGAUCAGGAGGAACCAGUGCUGAAUUUACUGCCAGGGUGUUCAAGUGCUUCUGUUCCUUAGUGUGUACUGGGUGCAAACCUCUAAUCACCACAUGAUGUGGUAUUGAAUGGGAGUAAACCAACAUACUUCAUUGUCCUCCUAAAAUUCCAGGCAGCAGGCUGGAUAAAGCUGAUGGCUUAUGAAGAGGUGUUUUUACACCAAACUAACUUCCUGUGGUGAUUGUGCUGAUGUAUCAUGAAAGUAGCAGGGGGUGACGGUAUUUAAAUCAAAAUGCAACGCAGGAACCCAACAAAGAAAGGAGCUGUGAGUAACGACAGGCUAAUAAGAUUCACUCUGGUGCAUGAAUGAAUCUGGUGAGUCCUGUGGUCUCUUUGUACUGCACUGAACCAGUACCAGCCAAGUCAGGUUGGUUUGUACUGGUUUGCAGUACUGAAGGAGUGCAGGUUAAACCCUGUGGGAAAAGCAUGUACACCUGACUGUUCAGGGUUAUAAUGCUUCCAUUUAGGUAUUUGGUAAGGCUGAGAGUCACUUUGGUUACAUAUAAAAGGAAACUAGGCUUUCAGUGUUGGUCUUACAAUGAGGGCAUUUGACUAUUUCCUGGAAUAAGUAUGUACCAGUGUGAAGUUGAUUUGCAUCAAAUACCACGCGAAAAUACCUGGAAUUAUAAAAUCCUGUCUCCUUGUAUUAUAAACUCAUAUAUAUGACAGCAUGAUAUGUAGAUCACUGUGAAAAGAACAGUCCAUCAGUCAGACAACACGCUUUGCUUUUACUUUUUUUAUUGGUACACUGAAAAGCAAAUCUGGAUUUAAUAAUUCAAACUCUCCGUCCGACUGGAUCACUGACAUUCCCAUGACGCAGGGUCAGAGUCAACAGUUGCACCGUCGCUGUAAACACCUACAUCGCCAUCUAAUGGACAAGUCAGGCACUGUGACAUGUGAAGACACUGAAAUGAGUGGAAAAAAGUUUGUAGUGAUUUUGAUGACAUAUUUGAACAAGUGCACAGAAGACGUCACUCAAAUCAAAACUGAUUUAUCUGGAUGUUAUCUGGAAUGUUAUUCAUUUUAAAAAACUAAAAAUCCUCAUAUAUUUUAUGUUUUUAAUUUCCAGAGAGAAUCUCAAUCCCUGGAAACAAUAUAUUUACUUAAAACACAGGACUGUGUUAUCCAACCCAAAGUGCAAAUAAUCACUGUAAACAAAUUUCAGCUGUUUUCUGAAAAGUUUUGACCAGAUUUCUGGACUCUGCUAACGUCAUGUCAGAAAGUUUCUGAUGGGAAAUGUGCUGCUCAUUACACACUAACAUUGUUAGAAAGUCAGAGUCUGUGCCUUCAGUUUGUGCUGCAAUUCACUCAGGUAGAAAGGUGCAUACUGUUGUUACCAAAGCCACUUCAAACCAGUUGGUAUGACAAACUUUAAAAACUGCUCUAAACACAUGAGCAGUGUAGAAAGCGUGGUACUAUACUGUAAAUGACAACACAGGUAUACAGGUUAUGAUUAUAGUACUGUGGUAAAUAGCAUCCAGUGAUUAGUCACAUACGUCCAUAACCCGGUGUAGAUAGUAGGUGUAAAUAAUGGAUUGUUUGAGGCUGUUUCUGUGAAAAAAUCCAUUUUGAUUAUUAUUGAUUUAUUUAUUUUGACUUGUUCAACUUCGGUUUUGUGGCACAAUCUACCACUAUAUCACACCAAAAUUUUAAGCACUUAUGACUGAAUCUGUGCAGGAACAUCCAGGUCUAUAUUCUCCUCCAUACAUACCCAGUCGGAAAACAUUCAACAACUCUUUACCCGAAUCCGUAUAGAAAGGAUCCUCAGAGCUUCUUGGAUAUUCAGAACAAAUUUCAUUGAUGAGUUUGCACAUGAUUUUUUUCCCCAAGAAAAUCCACAAGGUUUGUCAAAAGCAGAUCUAAAAUAUUUUACAUUCAAAUUUCACUGGACUAAAUCCAGAUCCAUUAAACCAGCUGCUGGUCCACUGACAGUGAUUGUAUGUCCACAGUACAACACUGACGGCUCCGAGUGAAUAUAAGUGAGUAAAGUUUAUUUGUGUGGCUCCUUUCACAGAUACAAAAUCACAACAUGCUUUACAUUGAAAAAUACACUGUUGGAGAGAAUAUUUAAAAUAGUUAACAGUAGAUAUCUGUCUCCAUCUACUGACUGAAUCAGAUCCACACACCCAGCUCCACUGCCAGGAUGCCACAGCUGAUAUCUGAAGGAUUUGAAACAUUUUUUCUUUGGUGUAGAUACCAUGUCUAUAAAUGACUGUGUCUAAGGAUCCAAACCUCCAACUGAUUCAUUUUAAGGUGUGUCACAGAGUUUAUUAUAAUCCUAGUACCAAGUCUGAAUAGUACCAUGUGCCAGCUUCAUUCAACAGGAAACCAAAUGUGGGAGUGUCCCUCUGUUUAAGACUUUCAGGGUCAAUUGAUUGUGGAGCUGUGGUCACAUGCAGGAGUGAAAAUAAAGAACAAACUCUGUGGGGCAUGAACAGAGGAACACAA